GUAGGUGGCAAGCGUUGUCCGGAAUUAUUGGGCGUAAAGCGCGCGCAGGCGGUUCUUUAAGUCCGAUGUGAAAGCCCACGGCUCAACCGUGGAGGGUCAUUGGAAACUGGAGAACUUGAGUACAGAAGAGGAAAGCGGAAUUCCACGUGUAGCGGUGAAAUGCGUAGAGAUGUGGAGGAACACCAGUGGCGAAGGCGGCUUUCUGGUCUGUAACUGACGCUGAGGCGCGUAAGCGUGGGGAGCAAACAGGGAUUAGAUACCCUGGUAGUCCACGCCGUAAACGAUGAGUGCUAAGUGUUAGGGGGUUUCCCGCCCCUUAGUGCUGCAGCUAACGCAUUAAGCACUCCGCCUGGGGAGUACGGCCGCAAGGCUG
rnacentral:rRNA from 1 species